rnacentral:rRNA from 1 species
AUUGAACGCUGGCGGCAGGCCUAACACAUGCAAGUCUAACGAGUGGCGGACGGGUGAGUACUGUCUGGGAAACUGCCUGAUGGAGGGGGAUAACUACUGGACACGGUAGCUAAUACCGCAUACCAUCAGAUGUGCCCAGAUGGGAUUGGCUAGUUGGUGGGGUAACGGCUAACCAGGGCGACGAUCCCUAGCUGGUCUGAGAGGAUGACCAGUCACACGGGAACUACGAGACGGUCCAGACUCCUACGGGAGGCAGCAGUGGGGAAUAUUGCACAAUGGGCGCAAGCCUGAUGCAGCCAUGCCGCGUGUAUGAAGAAGGCCUUCGGGUUGUAAAGUACGUUCAGCGGGGAGGCGUUACCCGCAGAAGAAGCACCGGCUAACUCCGUGCCAGCAGCCGCGGUAAUAC